rnacentral:rRNA from 1 species
UACAGAGGUCUCAAGCGUUGUUCGGAUUCAUUGGGCGUAAAGGGUGCGUAGGUGGCGCGGUAAGUCGGGUGUGAAAUUUCGGAGCUUAACUCCGAAACUGCAUUCGAUACUGCCGUGCUUGAGGACUGGAGAGGAGACUGGAAUUUACGGUGUAGCAGUGAAAUGCGUAGAGAUCGUAAGGAAGACCAGUGGCGAAGGCGGAUCUCUGGGCAGUUCCUGACACUGAGGCACGAAGGCCAGGGGAGCAAACGGG